GAUGAAUCACUGCCUAGAAUUUGGGGUUCUACAAACUGGGAAAUCACAUGAUUAUCACACCCCGAAGACUAACAUGAAACAGAAAGUGUCUGUGUUUUUCAAGCAUAAACCUUACCAGCAAUCAGAAGCAGACUUACAUGAAAAUUUCAGUUACAAAGAUAGGCAAAGUGCAGGCUUUAAGCAACCUCAUUCCUGGCAACAAUCUGAACAAUGUUCUAUAAGUGCUACAAAGAAAAUGAUUGGAAGGUUGCUCAGGGAGAGGCAUACUUUGAAAUGUGGCAUUUUGUUGAGCUGAUGAACACUUUACAAACUGAGCCAAAAAAAUCUAACAUUUUUCUCUACGACAAUUUAAUAUUGGAACAACUUAUUUCCAACUGUUUUGCUGAGCGGAAAAUAAAACCCUGUACUGUA